rnacentral:rRNA from 1 species
UACGUAGGGCGCAAGCGUUGUCCGGAAUUAUUGGGCGUAAAGAGCUCGUAGGCGGCUUGUCACGUCGGGUGUGAAAGCCCCGGGGCUUAACCCCGGGUCUGCAUUCGAUACGGGCUAGCUAGAGUGUGGUAGGGGAGAUCGGAAUUCCUGGUGUAGCGGUGAAAUGCGCAGAUAUCAGGAGGAACACCAGCGGCGAAGGCGGCGCUCUGGGCCGGAACUGACGCUGAGGAGCGAAAGCGUGGGUAGCAAACAGG